rnacentral:snRNA from 1 species
GAAGGCAGAAGGAGAUGGCUAUAACAUCUAUCCCCCUUUCAAUAACAGGAGUGAUUAGGUUGAUCUUCCUGGCUAAGCAGGCAUCUUUUUCCUCCUUGCAGCUCCAUGUUUCUCUCUCCAAAAGCUGCUCUGUCCAACAGGGUGAUCUUCCCCAAUAGUCAAGGGUAUACACGUAGCUGCACUCCCCUAUUAGAACUUCCAAAUAAGGCUUCAAAAUUGUGAGCUAAAUAAAACUCAGUACCUAAGUGUUGUGUUUGCCGUU